rnacentral:rRNA from 1 species
CCUACGGGAGGCAGCAGUGGGGAAUAUUGGACAAUGGGGGAAACCCUGAUCCAGCAACGCCGCGUGGGGGAUGAAGGUCUUCGGAUUGUAAACCCCUGUUGAGAGGGGCGAAGGUUUGGGGGCGAACAGCUUUCAAACUUGACGGUACCUCGAGAGGAAGCCCCGGCUAACUCUGUGCCAGCAGCCGCGGUAAUA